CACACACUGACCUAAAGAGAGAGACACACACUGAGAGUCGUACACAAACACACAGACACAUACACUCAGAGGGAAACAGACUAGCAACCAGUCAGAACCCAACCAAGUCCCCUAAGUGUUGGUGACUCAGCUGGCUGCGGCAGAGUCUCGCUAUAAGCUGUUGGACAGACACCCGGAGUACAUGAGGAAGAUAGUCCACAACGCAGAGGCUGACAGAACCACCCUGCUCAAACGCCAGGUUUUCCUGGAGAUGACCAGGUCAGCUGCUCCCGCCCCUGACUCCACACACCAGGCCCAGUUAGAUUAGCUGGAUCUACUGGAGCAGGAAUACCAGAGUCGCUCUGCCGGAGCGGUCAAGGGUCGACCGGGCGACCGCAGCAAGAAAAGUCUAACUGCUCAGGGACACGAGGUCACUGUGGUUGGUCACUGCAGGACCAACCACAAUGGAGCUACUGACCACAACACAACAGGACCAACCACAAUGGAGCUACUGACCACAACACAACAGGACCAACCACAAUGGAGCUACUGACCACAACACAACAGGACCAACCUCACUAACGUGACUGAGACACUAUUACUCACCAGACCACAACAGCAACUGGGCCAUGAUGCUGGAGAUCAGACUUGAUCAACCUGAACUUCUCUAAUGGCCUUCCCAUGGGUGUCGUUGUGUGGGGAAGAGGAAUGAUUCCAGGCCUAUCCAAAUACAUUUUAGAAGAGGAUGCUGAUGAAUGACUUACAGGAACAUUGUGGUGUAGAGAGGCGGGGUAAUGAUGUAUUUCUGAUGUCUUUGGGGGAGCAGUAUAUCAGUGACAUACUACAGACUCUCUGCAGAGAGAGAACACUCCUGAUGUGUGUACAGAAUGCACUGUCCAGCACACAUCUGCUUCCUCUAUCGAUUGGCUGACAGGGGUUUAACAGGGUGUGUGUUAUUGUAUAAAUCUGUUCACUGUGUUCCACUGCAAACCUCAGCUCACAGAAAUAUAAUUGUGUGUGU